rnacentral:tRNA from 1 species
UGGAGGUAAUCCUGCAAGGAUUACCGACUUGCGCUUCCUUGACACGGAAGAGGUCACAGGUUCAAAUCCUGUACCGCCCACCA